rnacentral:rRNA from 1 species
GACGAACGCUGGCGGCGUGCUUAACACAUGCAAGUCGUACGGUAAGGCCCUUUCGGGGGUACACGAGUGGCGAACGGGUGAGUAACACGUGAGUAACCUGCCCACAACUUUGGGAUAACGCUAGGAAACUGGUGCUAAUACUGGAUAUGUGCUCCUGCUGCAUGGUGGGGGUUGGAAAGCUCCGGCGGUUGUGGAUGGACUCGCGGCCUAUCAGCUUGUUGGUGGGGUAGUGGCCUAUCAAGGCGGCGACGGGUAGCCGGCCUGAGAGGGUGACCGGCCACAUUGGGACUGAGAUACGGCCCAGACUCCUACGGGAGGCAGCAGUGGGGAAUAUUGCACAAUGGGCGCAAGCCUGAUGCAGCAACGCCGCGUGCGGGAUGACGGCCUUCGGGUUGUAAACCGCUUUCAGCAGGGACGAAGCUUUUUGUGACGGUACCUGCAGAAGAAGCACCGGCUAACUACGUG